UGGGGAAUAUUGCACAAUGGGCGCAAGCCUGAUGCAGCCAUGCCGCGUGUGUGAAGAAGGCCUUCGGGUUGUAAAGCACUUUCAGCGGGGAGGAAGGCGUUAAGGUUAAUAACCUUGGCGAUUGACGUUACCCGCAGAAGAAGCACCGGCUAACUCCGUGCCAGCAGCCGCGGUAAUACGGAGGGUGCAAGCGUUAAUCGGAAUUACUGGGCGUAAAGCGCACGCAGGCGGUCUGUCAAGUCGGAUGUGAAAGCCCCGGGCUCAACCUGGGAACUGCAUUCGAAAUUGUCAGGCUAGAGCCUUGUAGAGGGGGGUAGAAUUCCAGGUUUAGCGGUGAAAUCCGUAGAGAUCUGGAGGAUUCCCGGUGGCGAAGGCGGCCCCCUGGACAAAGACUGACGCUCAGGUGCGAAAGCGUGGGGAGCAAACAGG
rnacentral:rRNA from 1 species